UACGGGGGGGUGCGAGCGUUUGUCCGGAAUCACUGGGCGUAAAGGGCGCGUAGGUGGCCUGGUAAGUCUGUGGUGAAAGCCCGGAGCUCAACUCCGGGUCUGCCGCGGAUACUGCGAGGCUUGAGUGCUGUAGAGGGGGGGUAGAAUGCCGGGUGUAGCGGUGGAAUGCGUAGAUAUCAAGAGGAACACCUGAGGUGAAGACGGGUUGCUGGGCUGAUACUGACGCUGAGGCGCGAAAGCUAGGGUAGCAAACGGG
rnacentral:rRNA from 1 species